rnacentral:rRNA from 1 species
AACGACUCUCGGCAACGGAUAUCUCGGCUCUCGCAUCGAUGAAGAACGUAGCGAAAUGCGAUACUUGGUGUGAAUUGCAGAAUCCCGCGAACCAUCGAGUCUUUGAACGCAAGUUGCGCCCGAAGCCAUCCGGCCGAGGGCACGUCCGGCUGGGUGUCACGCAAC